ensembl:miRNA mir135a microRNA mir-135a
UGCUGUGUUUUAUGGCUUUCUAUUCCUAUGUGAUUUUCUCUAGCAUGUCACAUAGGGUCUAAAGCCAUUGGGUACAGAG